rnacentral:lncRNA from 1 species
GAGGAAUUCUGGCAAUUCUGUCCCUGUGCCUUGUUAGAUUUCUAGCGAUGUGUUAGAAAGCCUUAAAGACUGGCUCCCUGAGAGGACUGGUCAGCAGUGGCUAAAAUAUAGAAUGUAAGGGAGAAGAGGCAAGAAAUGCGGCUAGGUGGAAUAGGAGGCUAUGCAAAUCUUUGAAAGCUUAUGGAAGGAGCCAAAGAAAGAUUACACUGUUGACAUAUAACCUGAGCCAUACAGAUGAAAACUUGCUUAUUUCUAGUUGCUCUAGGAUACAGGCUGGUCCCUCCGAUGGAAUUAUACAUAUGUUUUCCUUUUUUAUCUUUUUGGCCAUGCCUGUGGCAUGCAGACAUUCCCAAGCCAGGAAUCAAACCUGUGUCACGACAGCCACCCGAGCCACAGAAGUGACAACUCUGGAUCCUUAACUCACUGUGCCACAAGGGAGCUCCCUGCACACAAGAAGUAAUGAAAAAUACGUUGGUAUUAAGUGGAUCUGAAUGGGCUGACCAAAGAGGGUACGUAGAUUUUUAGAUUUGCAUAGAGCCAGAUUCUUAGAAGGCAGGGAGGGGUAGAGUCUGUAUUAUCUGGAGUCUGAGAUCCUUUCCAAAUACUCUAGCCUAUUCUAAGUGGCUGUUUCUCUCAAUUUUCCAUUCUCUGCCACUAGGAGGAAGCAUCAUUUCCCUUUGCCCUCUGAGACAGGGACCCUCUGUCCCAUAAUACAAACAUGCAUACAUGACAUACAUGUAAAAACAUAUUCCACCAAUAUAAACCAGCGCCUGAAGCUUUGACCUUGAUUGACCGGCAACAUGUUGCCUGGUGUUUUGGCCAGUUGGCUCCAAAGCCCAAGACAGAGGGUUCUAGAACAUGCAGUACUCUCACCUCCAACUAUCUCUGAAGGUACUGCCCCAAGAAAAACUACUUUCUGUGAAGCAUCUGAAGAGUAGAUGAAUUCUGCUGGCAACAACUGGCAAGCUCAAAGAUUACAGAAUCCUAUGUUGGGUAAAGGGGGUUAGGAUGGGGUCAGUGGUCUUUUUCUGUUGAGUUUUCUACGACUCUGGGUCCCUAGGGAGUUUCCUCAGAAAAUCAGUUCAGAGCGUGCUGGCCUUGUGUGUUGUAGCCUUCUGUUUAUUUCAUAGUGGUUGCAAUAUAGUGGCAUGUGUGCUUCUGCCAGCAGCUUGAAGCCUUCUAACUAGAAAUAUAAUGCCUCUCAAGAACUCAAAGUAUGUUUUUCUCCAGGCCUGUGUUUGCAGGAUUACCUCUGCCAUCAGUGACAGUGAAACUAAAGGAAAGCUGUCUAAUUUGAUCAUCACUGUCAAUGUUCCAGUUAAACACUGUCUGAGUGUCUCAGGCUGUCCUGAAAAAGAUUUGUCAAUCAAUUUAGCAUAACUUCUCAAAGCUUGUGACAUCAGAGGAGUUUAGGUUAUUUCUGAGUCGAAAGACAGGGUGGCCAAGGCCAAGGACAUAGUCAGCCUCACUCGCAUGUACAGCUUCCAUCCAAGUCAAGCCUUGGGCUGGCCUCCCGGGUAAACAUCUUUAAGGAAGAUUUGCUUUGAGAGGUGACUAGUGCCAAGACCAAGAUUAUAAGCUGCUAUGUGUGUGAGAGGUGGAGACCAUGCAAAGUUGUAGGAAGAAACUCAGCCUUUCUUCCUUUGAGGUUUGCUGAAAUCUCUCCAGAGUUUUGAAAGGCAAAGUCAGCACUGUUGCUUUCAUAAACAUGUGCUGAGCCUGAACUCUUGCCCAGACCAAGGACACAGGAGGCAAUGAGACUUGGAGUGCAGGCUUGGCCAUCACACCUGUUGCAAAUGGGCUUGCACUGGGCUGAGAGGCACAGCCAAAGAUAAGUCUUUCUAUGUGAUAUAUUCAUGGAAAUAAAUAAUAAAACUAUAAAUGAAAUAUUUUUAAAACAGAAACAUACCUUAAAACAAAAUUCACUCACAUUUUUGGAGCUGCUAUUAGCAUGGAGGUGUCACAAUAUGUAUAAUAAAAAAGAGAUGAUGUAGAUAAAUGCUACUGUAUAACGUAUGUACUUUCUAAAUUAUUAUGAGCAUGCAGAAGAAGGAGUUAUUGGCAGGAGUUUUACUCUUUUUUUUUCCCCCCACAGAGAUUUUGCAAUACUAAUGACAAAGAAAGCCUGGUGGAAUCACCUACUGGGAAGGCAGUGGUCCAGCUUUGGGUAAAUCUGAUUCAUUUACUCAGCAAAUAUUUAUGGAGCACUUACCAUGUGCUGUCAUGUUGUUGGGAUACAUCCGUUAACAAGAAGGAAGAAGAUUCCUGUCCUUAUUCUAGCAAAGAAAGCAGGAUUCAAAGCACUUCCUCUUAAGCAAUAGGUAGAAAUCUAUUUUUGUUGUUGUUGAUAAAACUACUAAAAGCCGUAGGAUUUCAAAACUCUUAAUCCUGAAGUCUCACUAAACAACAGAACCAAUAGGAUUUAGAAGGAUGGUUGGCCCACAUAAGUCCUGAAAGCAGAUUUGGAGCCAGUGUGGGCUUAGCAGUUGGCUCUCGGAAGUAAAUAAUAGAAAAUAGUCUCAUUUGCAGUAUUUGACUUUUUUUUUUUUUGGCAGUGGUGUUGUAAACACUCACUGUGGCCAUUUCAAAUUAACCAUGAGAUGUCCUUGAACCUGGUGUUGGGAAAAUACGUACAAUGGUUCUUAAGAGCUGGUGCAAACUGGCUCUGGGUCACCACAGACUCAGGGCCCAUACGAUAAUGAAGCAUCUGAAGCAUCGCACAUGGAAAGGGCGUUGAAGUCCAUGGACAUUUGUUUCUUGUUCAUGGUGUGUGGCAAUCAGUGCUGACAGAGGUGUCACAAGCGAAUUGCUGCAAAUACUCUUAAUUCUUUAAGUCACCUCACUGAUGCAGAAAAAACUUUUUUGGGAAAAAAGAAACAUUAAACGUAUACAGAAUUUAUUUGAUUUAUGAACUAGAGCAAAAUAUGUCUUUCUUCAUAUAAGUUCUUGUUAUUUCCUUUAGGCCUUGGCAGCUAUGCAGAGCAUUGCAGUGAGAAGCUGCUGUCUUGGGGGAGCUUUACUGCUUUUGGAGAUUUAAUACUGAUCUUGAACUUGAGGUAUAUAAAGGAAUACCUGUGUCUGUUCUGCAUUUCCUUAUUGGAUUAAGCAGAUAUUUUGUUUUCUUCUUAAGUUAUAUACUGAGGAUAGUUAAACAUUUCCUCUUGAAAAAAAUCAGCCAGGCCGUUUUGUCAGAUUCAUGUUUAUAGAGUCUGAGUCCUUCACGAUGGACAAGUCAGUUACACCAAAUUGUUCUGCCUGGAUGUUUACUGCUUCUAAUUUCACUGUAUGUGUCUGGACCAACUUAGGUCUAAAGGACACUGUUGUUGUUGCUUUUCCAAAACCUGUGGAAAGGUGCUCAUUCCUUUUUUUUUUUUUAAACAAACUUUGUUUCGCUUCUCCUAGGUGUGUCUGCAUGAACUUCUAUGCACCAGAAACUUUCAUUUCAAUGCUGAAAUGUGGGGUAAGAUUUUGGUGAAAUUUUAAACAAAUUUAGGGAACUACCUUAAGUAAAUUCAACCAGGUAUCACAUGCAGUCUUACUUUGGAAUUGUGAAAAAAAAAUAAUAAUAAGAGUGGAAAUAUGGAAGAGAAUGCAAUAGCUACAACAGCAUAAACAUUGACUAUUAAGAAUCAAAAUAAUAUUCAUAAAAAAUAUUCAUUAAGUUAGGUGUCAACAUUUGUAAGAAAUGCACUGUUCCUGGCUUCGAGGUGGAAGAAGGCCGCCACAAGCUAAGGAAUGUGGGCCGCAUCUAGAAGCUGGAAAAGGCAAGAAAACAGUCUCCUCUAGAGCCUCUAGAAGGAAUACAGUCCUGGUGACACCUUGGUCUUGGCCCAGUGAGACCCAUAUCAGAUUUCUAACCUACAGAACUAUAAGAUAGUACAUUUAUGUUUUCUUAAGCCACUAGGUGUGUAAUCAUUUGUUACAACAGCCACAGGAAAGGAAUGCAUGUAUGGUUCUCUACAUUUUUGGUCUCUGCAGAGACAGGGUGGAUGGGGCCAGGAGACUAGCUCUGGCACUUAGAAUGGGGGAUGGGUGUGAUUUGCCCCCUACCUGGGCAAUGUGCCAUGACCUCUCUCUCUGGUGGUUGGACAGCUGAAUGCAGAGGGUCAGUAGAGGGUCAAGGAGGCUCUAGUGGAUGGCAGAGUCGCUGUUUGCAAGGAGCCUUGAAUCUGAAGUCACCACUUGAAAGAGUGUUGCCUCUGGGAGCUGCCCCAACCAAAUGCAUGAGUCUUAAUCCCCUGAGUUCCCAGAGUUCAUUUUUCCCUGCAGCAGAGCUGCUUCUAGUCUAACUCCAGAAUCUCCAAAUCAGAUUAUUUUUUCUUUUUAAAAAAUUUUUAAAGAGUUUUUUUUCUUUCUUUUUUUUUUUAAGGGAUCAAACUUCUACAUGGGCAAAGUCAGAACUUUGUUGGGCUUCCUUAGCCUUAGUUUGUAAUUCAGUCUUUUUAAAACUUCACGUAGCACAUGGAGAGCAUUGUAAUCAAAUUUCUAUACUUAGGGCUUGUGACGGUCUUAAACCAGUGCUACUUUCUUGGCCACGGAGGCACCCACAGCCUCACAGUGCAGACAGACAGCUCAUUGGUCUCUUACAGGCUCUUCUGGCCUUUUCCUAAAUAUGCUCUCCAGUGCCAUAAAUUUCUACUUUUGUCCAGAGAUUCCUUUUUCUUGGAAUAUGUACCCCACCCCUUCCUUUAAGCUCAGCUCAAUUCCAUCUCCUUCAAGAUGCCUUUCUAGAUUCUCCAAGGAAUAUGAAUUUCCUUCCUCCAUGAUUCCCUGUGUUCUUUCGUAAUACUUAUUAAUGGAUCCCUGUCCUCUCUACCCAAGUACACACACAGGCACAUCCUAAAAUGUAGCUUCUAGAAGGCAAAUAUCAUCCCAGGCUCACUGUGGUCCUUCACCAUAAGAUAGUGCUUUAGGGCAGUAAAUGCUCUGUGCAUUUGCAAAUUUUAGUAAAACCUCUGUGGCUGGUGGAAGAGUUUUGUUUUGUUUGUUUAAGCAGACAGGAUCACGUGGUGCCUUUUAUAUUAUCAUAUAGGACUGGUCCAUUUAUAUAGAGCAAGGGUCCCCCAAGAUUCCUUGUUCAUCAAAAUCUGAAUGACUAAACCAGGCACUGUGCUAAAGGGCCGGAGCACCACGUACCCUGUGGAACUAUCAAAUGUCACCCACUAGGACAGCUGCAAACCACAUAUAGAGUGUACCUACUACGUACCAGACUUUGGGCAGGUGAUCGACAUCAGCCUGAGCCUCUGGCCAGUCCUUCACUUUCUAGGACUUCUUCCCUUUCAGGGAAAUUUGGCCUCCCAGCAUCUGGGGAACAAGCUGCUUAUUUGCUAAUAUCUGUUUGCACAUCAGGGUUUUUUACUUUUAGGAACAGUUUGUCUCUCUGGCAGAUCUCCGUGUUCCCAUACCGUUGUUUAUGAUGUAACUAAGCAUCUAUCGUAUAGAAUUGAACUCAAUUCUCUUUUGAAACUGCAAGAGAUCUAACCCGCUCAUUUUCUUUCCAUUUAACAUACGAGAGGGGUGUGUAGGAGCAGUUUAUUAAGGGGGAGCUGUUUAUUGAGGGAUCCUGGGGCUAAUCCAGCCCAUUAUUUCUCCAUUUCCUUACAGCUCACUGAGAAGGGUGGGAGAGAACAGGAAUGGGGAGACUAUUCUUUCCUGAGUGAUUGUUUGGCCAAUCCACAGGGAUCCUGACUUUCCUACACCCAUCAGGGAAGUAGCAUCCAGAGGGUCAUUCCAGGGACAGGGCUGGCUGUGUCAGGCUGUAAUGAAUGGUUCAGACUGAGAGGUGGAACUUGGCCAACAACAGGGAAAGACAAUAAUCAUUGGAAAAUUUAGGCAUUGAGAAUAAGAUCCAUGUCUGUCUUAUGUCCCCUGGGUACCAACACAAUGACUUGGCUUAGUAACUGCCCCAUAAUGUUUAAAUUAUGUUCAGUGAAUGAGUGAAUGAAUGGAUGCCGUAUUCUUGCUUCCUUCUCCAAACACUCUUUAUAAAAUUACGGCAUCUCAUUCAUGUCUCCUCUAUAAAUCGGGAAUUUGGUGAGGCAUGCUGUUUAUUGCUUAGGAAUCAUUUUACUUAAUCACAAAGGUCCCAGGGGUUCAGGCGGGGAAAAAAAAAAAACAAACAGGUUUGGGAGAAAGAGUAGGAUAGGAUCUUCCUAGAGAUUUUUCUUUCCUUUUUCUUUAAUGGGCGCACCCAUGGAAGAUGGAAAUUCCCAGGCCAGGGAUUGAAGCCCAGCCUCAGCUGUGGCCAGAUCCUUUAACCCACUGCACCAGGCUGGGGAUUGAACCUGCACCUCGACAGUGACCCAAGCUGCUGCAGUGGGAUUCUUAACCCAAGGUGCCACAGCACAGUGAGGCUAGAGCCCCACUUCAACUCCUAUAGAGUUGAAAGCUCUAUAGGAGUUUCUGUUAUGGCUCAGUGGUAACAAACCCUACUAGUAUCCAUGAGGACGCUGGGUUUGAUAAGCGGGUUAAGGCUCUGGUGUUGCCGUGAGCUGUGGUGUAGGUCACAGACACGGUUCAGACCUGCUGUUGCUAUGGCUGUGGUGUAGGCUGGCAGCUACAGCUCCAAUUCGACCUCCAUCCUGGGAACUUUCAUAUGCUGCAGGU